UACAGAGGGGGCAAGCGUUAUUCGGAAUUAUUGGGCGUAAAGGGUGCGCAGGCGGUGUUUUAAGUGAGAUGUGCAAUCCCCGGGCUUAACCUGGGAACUGCAUCUCAGACUGGAACGCUAGAGUACUGGAGAGGGUGGUAGAAUUCCACGUGUAGCGGUGAAAUGCGUAGAGAUGUGGAGGAAUACCAGUGGCGAAGGCGGCCACCUGGACAGUAACUGACGCUGAGGCACGAAAGCAUGGGUAGCAAACAGG
rnacentral:rRNA from 1 species